UACGUAGGGUGCGAGCGUUAAUCGGAAUUACUGGGCGUAAAGCGUGCGCAGGCGGUCUGUUAAGACCGAUGUGAAAUCCCCGGGCUUAACCUGGGAACUGCAUUGGUGACUGGCAGGCUUUGAGUGUGGCAGAGGGAGGUAGAAUUCCACGUGUAGCAGUGAAAUGCGUAGAGAUGUGGAGGAAUACCGAUGGCGAAGGCAACCUCCUGGGCCAACACUGACGCUCAUGCACGAAAGCGUGGGGAGCAAACAGG
rnacentral:rRNA from 1 species